rnacentral:rRNA from 1 species
GAUGAACGCUGGCGGCGUGCCUAAUACAUGCAAGUCGAGCGAACGGACGAGAAGCUUGCUUCUCUGAUGUUAGCAGCGGACGGGUGAGUAACACGUGGAUAACCUACCUAUAAGACUGGGAUAACUUCGGGAAACCGGAGCUAAUACCGGAUAAUAUUUUGAACCGCAUGGUUCAAAAGUGAAAGACGGUCUUGCUGUCACUUAUAGAUGGAUCCGCGCUGCAUUAGCUAGUUGGUAAGGUAACGGCUUACCAAGGCAACGAUGCAUAGCCGACCUGAGAGGGUGAUCGGCCACACUGGAACUGAGACACGGUCCAGACUCCUACGGGAGGCAGCAGUAGGGAAUCUUCCGCAAUGGGCGAAAGCCUGACGGAGCAACGCCGCGUGAGUGAUGAAGGUCUUCGGAUCGUAAAACUCUGUUAUUAGGGAAGAACAUAUGUGUAAGUAACUGUGCACAUCUGGACGGUACCUAAUCAGAAAGCCACGGCUAACUACGU